GAAAAUGAUGAUAAUUUUUUGUCGCCCCAGUCUUAAUCUACAUCUACAUCUACAUCGUAGAUGCAAUGUGGUGAUUGACAUUUUGUUUGAUUC
rnacentral:snoRNA from 1 species